rnacentral:rRNA from 1 species
AUUGAACCGCUUGGCGGCGUGCUUAACCACAUGCAAGUCGAACGAGAAAGGGAUUGCUUGCAAUCUGAGUAGAGUGGCGCACGGGUGAGUAACACGUAGAUAAUCUACCUUCGAUUUUGGGAUAACCAUCCGAAAGGGUGGCUAAUACCGGAUAAGGUUUUAAUACGCAAGUAUAAGAAUGAAAGUAUGCCUCUUCCUGAAAGCAUAUGAUUGGAGAUGAGUCUGCGGACCAUUAGCUUGUUGGUAGGGUAAAGGCCUACCAAGGCUACGAUGGUUAGCUGGUCUGAGAGGAUGAUCAGUCACACUGGAACUGGAACACGGUCCAGACUCCUACGGGAGGCAGCAGUGAGGAAUUUUGCGCAAUGGGGUAACCCCUGACGCAGCAACGCCGCGUGAGUGAAGAAGGCCUUUGGGUCGUAAAGCUCUGUCAACUGGGAAGAAGUUACAACGAUCUAAUAGGUAGUUGUAUUGACGGUACCAGUGGAGGAAGCGCCGGCUAACUCCGUGCCAGCAGCCGCGGUAAUACGGGGGGCGCAAGCGUUAUUCGGAAUUAUUGGGCGUAAAGGGCGUGUAGGCGGUCUUAUCGGUCAGAUGUGAAAGCCCAGGGCUCAACCCUGGACGUGCAUUUGAAACAGUAAGACUUGAGUACUGGAGAGGAAAGCGGAAUUCCUGGUGUAGAGGUGAAAUUCGUAGAUAUCAGGAGGAACACCGAUGGCGAAGGCAGCUUUCUGGACAGAAACUGACGCUGAUGCGCGAAGGCGUGGGUAGCGAACAGGAUUAGAUACCCUGGUAGUCCACGCAGUAAACGAUGUACACUAGGUGUAGGUGAUAUUAAAAUUGUCUGUGCCGCAGCUAACGCAUUAAGUGUACCGCCUGGGGAGUACGGUCGCAAAGACUAAAACUCAAAGAAUUGACGG